rnacentral:rRNA from 1 species
CCCUUAGAUGUCCUGGGCUGCACGCGCGCUACACUGAUGUGUCCAGUAAGCACCUAACCUAUUCCGAGAGGAGCGGGUAACCUUAGCAAAGCACAUCGUGAUGGGGAUAGAUUAUUGCAAUUAUUAGUCUUGAACGAGGAAUUCCUAGUAAGCACAAGUCAUCAGCUUGUGUUGAUUACGUCCCUGCCCUUUGUACACACCGCCCGUCGCUCCUACCGAUUGAAUGUUCCGGUGAGCUCUUCGGACUGCGCGGUCUGCAGUUUCUGCGUUCCGUGCGGAAAGUUGUGCAAACCUUAACAUUUAGAGGAAGGAGAAGUCGUAACA